GACAACCUGGUUGAUCCUGCCAGUAGUCAUAUGCUUGUCUCAAAGAUUAAGCCAUGCAUGUCUCAGUACAAGCCAAAUUAAGGUGAAACCGCGAAAGGCUCAUUAAAUCAGUUAUGGUUCCUUAGAUCGUACCAACAUUUACUUGGAUAACUGUGGUAAUUCUAGAGCUAAUACAUGCAAACAGAGCUUCGACCGGAGACGGAAGAGGCGCUUUUAUUAGAUCAAAACCAAUCGGCGGCGGGUUCGCUCGCGGGCUCGUCGUCGUUUUCACUGACGAAUCUGAAUAACUUUCUGCUGAUCGCACGGUCUCGCACCGGCGACGCAUCUUUCAAAUGUCUGCCUUAUCAACUGUCGAUGGUAGGUUCUGUGCCUACCAUGGUUGUAACGGGUAACGGGGAAUCAGGGUUCGAUUCCGGAGAGGGAGCCUGAGAAACGGCUACCACAUCCAAGGAAGGCAGCAGGCGCGCAAAUUACCCACUCCCGGCACGGGGAGGUAGUGACGAAAAAUAACGAUACGGGACUCAUCCGAGGCCCCGUAAUCGGAAUGAGAACAAUUUAAAUCCUUUAACGAGGAUCAAUUGGAGGGCAAGUCUGGUGCCAGCAGCCGCGGUAAUUCCAGCUCCAAUAGCGUAUAUUAAAGUUGUUGCGGUUAAAAAGCUCGUAGUCGAAUCUGUGUCCCGCGCCGCCGGUUCGUCGCUCGCGGCGUUUAACUGGCGUGUCCGCGGGACGUCCUGCCGGUGGGCUUAGCCUUUUCAUUAAGGCGGCCCAAUCUUAAUCCCGCCGCGGUGCUCUUCACCGAGUGUCGAGGCGGGCCGGCACGUUUACUUUGAACAAAUUAGAGUGCUUAAAGCAGGCUAAAACUUCGCCUGAAUACUUCGUGCAUGGAAUAAUGGAAUAGGACCUCGGUUCUAUUUUGUUGGUUUUCGGAACCCCGAGGUAAUGAUUAAUAGGAACGGAUGGGGGCAUUCGUAUUGCGACGUUAGAGGUGAAAUUCUUGGAUCGUCGCAAGACGGACAGAAGCGAAAGCAUUUGCCAAAAACGUUUUCAUUGAUCAAGAACGAAAGUUAGAGGUUCGAAGGCGAUCAGAUACCGCCCUAGUUCUAACCAUAAACGAUGCCAGCUAGCGAUCCGCCGACGUUCCUCCGAUGACUCGGCGGGCAGCUUCCGGGAAACCAAAGCUUUUGGGUUCCGGGGGAAGUAUGGUUGCAAAGCUGAAACUUAAAGGAAUUGACGGAAGGGCACCACCAGGAGUGGAGCCUGCGGCUUAAUUUGACUCAACACGGGAAACCUCACCAGGCCCGGACACCGGAAGGAUUGACAGAUUGAGAGCUCUUUCUUGAUUCGGUGGGUGGUGGUGCAUGGCCGUUCUUAGUUGGUGGAGCGAUUUGUCUGGUUAAUUCCGAUAACGAACGAGACUC
rnacentral:rRNA from 1 species